UACGGAGGGUGCAAGCGUUGUUCGGAAUUAUUGGGCGUAAAGCGCGCGUAGGCGGCCUAUCAAGUCAGGUGUGAAAUCCCUGGGCUUAACCCAGGAACUGCGCUUGAAACGGGUAGGAUUUGAGUGUCGGGGAGGAAAGCAGAAUUCCCGGUGUAGAGGUGAAAUUCGUAGAUAUCGGGAGGAAUACCAGCAGCGAAAGCGGCUUUCUAAACGACUACUGACGCUGAGGCGCGAAAGCGUGGGGAUCAAACAGGAUUAGAACCA
rnacentral:rRNA from 1 species